CUGGUGAUGGUAGAUACCAACAAACCCUGCUAUAGCUAUAGCUUGACCACACAUCACUGGUAGCAGCUCUUGUAGCAAAAGCAGCAGAAGUGUAAUUGUACCUUAUCUGCUACUGAGCCUUCUCUUCCAGUUCAAACUCACAAACACCUGUGGCUUAAGUUCAGACACUGAAAAGACCAUUUGAAAUGGCUCAGGCACAAUCUUUUGCUCCAUCUGUGAUGAAGCUUCAGGUAUACAGUACAGUUGGUUUGAGUGAGAUUUAGGUGGGCUGAGGGGUGAAACACAAUUGUCUGUCUGAUGUGAGGAAUUUCUGAAACGAGAGGAUGGAAUGCUGAGGCUGGCAAACAUAAUGCUCAGUCUCAUCAGCUACUAUUACACGUAUUGGCCAUCCAGAAAGAUACAGCUGUCAUCCGCUGGUCAGACAUAUGCCAAAGAAUCCAGGAGACUCAGGAAGUGUCCGGCUCAAAAAGAAAACCUGAACCUAUGACCAUCAUCCAUUCCAGAGGACCACAGGCCCGACAUGCAAAGCUGAUCCUUGGUACCAGCUCAAAGAAAACCUUCUGAAACAGGCAGUGGAACUCAGUAUCUAGCCAACUCCUCUGUGAAACCUUGUAGCUGAAAUGAUUUUUUCAAUCUAUUAAUUGAAUAGAGAGAAUAAGUCCGAUUUCAUCUGUUCGGGCCGAGGUGCCCCGUUGGUGGC